rnacentral:rRNA from 1 species
CCUACGGGUGGCUGCAGUGGGGAAUAUUGCACAAUGGGGGAAACCCUGAUGCAGCGACGUCGCGUGAGUGAAGAAGGCAUUCGUUAUGGAAAGCUCUUUCAGCAGGGAAGAAAAUGACGGUACCUGAGUACGAAGCUCCGGCUAACUACGUGCCAGCAGCCGGGGUAAUACGUAGGGGGCAAGCGUUAUCCGGAUUUACUGGGGGUAAAGGGAGUGUAGCCGGCAGUGAAAGUCUGGAGUGAAAGGUGAGGGCUCAACCCACGGACUGCUGUGGAAACUGUACGGCUGGAGUGCAGGAGAGGUAAGUGGAAUUCGUGGUGUAGCGGUGAAAUGCGUAGAUAUUAGGAGGAACGCCAGUGGCGAAGGCAGCUUACUGGACUGUAACUGACGUUGAGGCUCGAAAGCGUGGGGAGCAAACAGGAUUAGAUACCCUGGUAGUC